rnacentral:rRNA from 1 species
CUUGGUCAUUUAGAGGAAGUAAAAGUCGUAACAAGGUUUCCGUAGGUGAACCUGCGGAAGGAUCAUUACCUAGAGUUGUAGGCUUUGCCUGCUAUCUCUUACCCAUGUCUUUUGAGUACCUUACGUUUCCUCGGUGGGUUCGCCCACCGAUUGGACAAACUUAAACCCUUUGCAGUUGAAAUCAGCGUCUGAAAAAACUUAAUAGUUACAACUUUCAACAACGGAUCUCUUGGUUCUGGCAUCGAUGAAGAACGCAGCGAAAUGCGAUAAGUAGUGUGAAUUGCAGAAUUCAGUGAAUCAUCGAAUCUUUGAACGCACAUUGCGCCCCUUGGUAUUCCAUGGGGCAUGCCUGUUCGAGCGUCAUUUGUACCUUCAAGCUCUGCUUGGUGUUGGGUGUUUGUCUCCUGUAGACUCGCCUUAAAACAAUUGGCAGCCGGCGUAUUGAUUUCGGAGCGCAGUACAUCUCGCGCUUUGCACUCAUAACGACGACAUCCAAAAGUACAUUUUUACACUCUUGACCUCGGAUCAGGUAGGGAUACCCGCUGAACUUAAGCAUAUCAAUAAGCGG